rnacentral:snRNA from 11 species
AGCUUUGCGCAGUGGCAGUAUCGUAGCCAAUGAGGUUUGUCCGAGGCGCGAUUACUGCUAAUAGAAGCUGGAAUAAUAUGAAUAUAUUGGGUUAAAAUAUAUUUUCAAUGUUACCUGUUCUAGCUUUAAAAUGGCAACUAGAAAUUUGAGAUUUAUUUUGUGGUUCACAUCAUAUUCUUUUUUCCCCCUAAAUAA